rnacentral:SRP_RNA from 1 species
GCCGGGUGUGGUGGCGCACACCUGUAAUCCUAGCACUUUGGGAGGCCGAGGUGGAUGGAUCACUUGAGGUCAGGAGUUCAAGACCAGCCUGGCCAACAUGGUGGAACCCCGCCUCUA